UACGGGGGGGGUAAGCGUUGUUCGGAAUUACUGGGCGUAAAGGGCGCGUAGGCGGCCGAUCAAGUCAGGCGUGAAAUUCCCGGGCUCAACCUGGGGGCUGCGCUUGAGACUGGUUGGCUAGAGGCCGAGAGAGGGUGGUGGAAUUCCCAGUGUAGAGGUGAAAUUCGUAGAUAUUGGGAAGAACACCGGUGGCGAAGGCGGCCACCUGGCUCGGUACUGACGCUGAGGCGCGACAGCGUGGGGAGCAAACAGG
rnacentral:rRNA from 1 species